UGGGGAAUAUUGCACAAUGGGCGCAAGCCUGAUGCAGCCAUGCCGCGUGUAUGAAGAAGGCCUUCGGGUUGUAAAGUACUUUCAGCGGGGAGGAACGGAGUAACGUUAAUACAUUUGCUCAUUGACGUUACCCGCAGAAGAAGCACCGGCUAACUCCGUGCCAGCAGCCGCGGUACUACGGAGGGUGCAAGCGUUAAUCGGAAUUACUGGGCGUAAAGCGCACGCAGGCGGUUUGUUAAGUCAGAUGUGAAAUCCCCGGGCUCAACCUGGGAACUGCAUCUGAUACUGGCAAGCUUGAGUCUCGUAGAGGGGGGUAGAAUUCCAGGUGUAGCGGUGAAAUGCGUAGAGAUCUGGAGGAAUACCGGUGGCGAAGGCGGCCCGCUGGACGAAGACUGACGCUCAGGUGCGAAAGCGUGGGGAGCAAACAGG
rnacentral:rRNA from 1 species